CAAUAGAAAGUUGACUUAAACCAUACUUCGAAUUUUGGUCUUUUCCCGGACUAGUGACAUGCGGUACAAUACUCUCUUGUGAAGCUGGGCAGCGGCAGCAAGCUGCAGCUCCCGGUCAUCCGCACGAUCACGAGGGU